rnacentral:rRNA from 1 species
ACUCCUACGGGAGGCAGCAGUGGGAAUAUUGCACAAUGGGGAAGCCCAUCGAUGCAGCCAUGCCGCGCUGUGUGAAGAAGGCCAAUUCGGGUUGGUAAAGACACUUUCAGUAGGGAGGAAGGUAGUGUAGUUAACACCUGCAUUAUUUGACGUUACCUACAGAAGAAGCACCGGCUAACUCCGUGCCAGCAGCCGCGGUAAUACGGAGGGUGCGAGCGUUAAUCGGAAUUACUGGGCGUAAAGCGCAUGCAGGCGGCCUGUUAAGUCAGAUGUGAAAGCCCGGGGCUUAACCUCGGAAUUGCAUUUGAAACUGGCAGGCUAGAGUCUUGUAGAGGGGGUGAGAAUUGAUCAGGUGUAGCGGUGAAAUGCAGUAGAGAUCUGAAGG